rnacentral:rRNA from 1 species
UUCCAGACUCCUACGGGAGGCAGCAGUGGGGGAUAUUGCACAAUGGGGGGAACCCUGAUGCAGCGACGCCGCGUGGGUGAAGGAGCGUUUCGGCGCGUAAAGCCCUAUCGGCAGGGAAGAAGGAGGACGGUACCUGACUAAGAAGCCCCGGCUAACUACGUGCCAGCAGCCGCGGUAAUACGUAUGGGGCAAGCGUUAUCCGGAUUUACUGGGUGUAAAGGGAGCGUAGGCGGCAGGGCAAGCCUGAUGUGAAAGCCCGGGGCUCAACCCCGGGACUGCAUUGGGAACUGCCCCGCUCGAGUGCCGGAGGGGCAGGCGGAAUUCCUAGUGUAGCGGUGAAAUGCGUAGAUAUUAGGAGGAACACCAGUGGCGAAGGCGGCCUGCUGGACGGUGUACUGACGCUGAGGCUCGAAAGCGUGGGGAGCAAACAGGAUUAGAUACCCCGGUAGC